rnacentral:pre_miRNA from 14 species
CAUCCCUGGAGAUGCUGCUUCAGGAGGUUUGAGGCAGGUCUUGAGAAUCUGCAUUUUUAGCAUGUUCCCAGGUGAUGCUGA